rnacentral:lncRNA from 1 species
UUAAGAGCGCGAAUCUCAAAUAUUUUAUUGCCACAAAAAUACUAUGACCUAAUUAAGAUCAUAUAUUUUAACAAUGUUUCCUAUUUUUAUUAAACUUUGUGUAAGGUCAAAGUAAGACUUUCAAAGUGGAAGAGAUGAAUGAGAGGUUCACAAGGAAAGGCUGUAUCAAUACCAUAUAUGUAUCCAUUUGUAUUUGAUACGAUAUCUUUUUCCCUAUACAUCGAAUAUCGAAUUUCUGGAUCUUAUUUAGUUCGGUUGGAAUGAUUCAACAUAUACACCAAUUAUGCACCACUAAUUAAUACUAGCCAGUUGGAUUUUUCCUACUCAUGUGUUAAUUAAUUAUGUUGCUAAAAUUGAGAUGUAAUUCAGCAUAACAAGAAUCCACGAGCUGUUCCGCAGCUACACUUUCAGAGGACAUGGGGC